CUAGGGAUUGAAGGUCAAGGUGGAAGUGGCUGCCUUUCUGGCUGCCGUUUUCAAGGUCCUGCUGUCUUUCCAAGCUUUGGCUGGAGAAGACGGAAAUGUCACUAGCAGAUGGGAUGUUACCAUCUCCCAUGCACAUUUGCAUCCACAGUCAUGAGAAAUCCUCACGAUGAAUCACGUCAGGACCCUCCACUUCUCCACCAGCUUUCCACCGGUGGAGAGGAGAAGACAGCCAAGAAUCAGCAGCUUCUGGCUACCUUGAUCAGAAGGUUGAUGAAGGCAAUGAAACAAAGAUGGAAAAACACAUCACACAGGCCCUUACCAGAUGCCAGCAUCUUGAUAUUGGAUUUCCCAGCCUUCAGAACACCUGACCAUUUAAAGAAUGAAAAUGUAUUCACAUGAGGAAACCAAGGGUGUGGCCAACAAACCAUUGGAUAAGGCUCCCGUCAAGCAGGUGGACCAGGCACAGCUCCUCCUUAUCCCUGAGUAGUGGGUGUCAGUUUCCUGCUAGGCUCGGAAUUGUUCAAAGCCCAUCAGAUUCUCCUGGAAGCAGGGGGUACCUCACCCUCUUGUUGCUACAAAGUUUGCCACCCACAGCCCCUGCC